rnacentral:rRNA from 1 species
AAAUUGAAGAGUUUGAUCAUGGCUCAGAUUGAACGCUGGCGGCAGGCCUAACACAUGCAAGUCGAGCGGUAGCACAGAGAGCUUGCUCUCGGGUGACGAGCGGCGGACGGGUGAGUAAUGUCUGGGAAACUGCCUGAUGGAGGGGGAUAACUACUGGAAACGGUAGCUAAUACCGCAUAACGUCGCAAGACCAAAGUGGGGGACCUUCGGGCCUCAUGCCAUCAGAUGUGCCCAGAUGGGAUUAGCUAGUAGGUGGGGUAACGGCUCACCUAGGCGACGAUCCCUAGCUGGUCUGAGAGGAUGACCAGCCACACUGGAACUGAGACACGGUCCAGACUCCUACGGGAGGCAGCAGUGGGGAAUAUUGCACAAUGGGCGCAAGCCUGAUGCAGCCAUGCCGCGUGUGUGAAGAAGGCCUUCGGGUUGUAAAGCACUUUCAGCGGGGAGGAAGGCGAUAAGGUUAAUAACCUUGUCGAUUGACGUUACCCGCAGAAGAAGCACCGGCUAACUCCGUGCCAGCAGCCGCGGUAAUACGGAGGGUGCAAGCGUUAAUCGGAAUUACUGGGCGUAAAGCGCACGCAGGCGGUCUGUCAAGUCGGAUGUGAAAUCCCCGGGCUCAACCUGGGAACUGCAUUCGAAACUGGCAGGCUAGAGUC